rnacentral:rRNA from 1 species
UUCCGUCUUCGGUAGGUGAACCUGCGGAGGGAUCAUUA